rfam:Mucilaginibacter sp. PPCGB 2223 NODE_5_length_405491_cov_165.226_ID_646, whole genome shotgun sequence.
CCGAAAGUGGACUGAUUUUAAGUUGCCUGUAGAAUGGCAACGCCGGAUUGCAACCACGUAAAAAAGUGCUAAAACCCUGCUU